rnacentral:misc_RNA from 1 species
GAUGAAGAACGUAGUGAAAUGCGAUAAGUAGUGAAUUGCAGAAUUCAGUGAAUCAUCGAAUCUUUGAACGCACAUUGCGGCCAUAGGUAUUCCUUUGGCCAUGCCUGUUCGAGCGUCAUUUACACCCUCAAGCCUAGCUUGGUGUUGGGCGCCUGUCCCGCCGUUUUCGCGCGCGGACUCGCCUCAAAGUCAUUGGCGGCGGUCGUGCCGGCCCCCUCGCGCAGCACAUUUGCGCUUCUCGGAGGCCCGGCGGAUCCGCGCUCCAGCAAGACCUUUCACGACUUGACCUCGGAUCAGGUAGGGAUACCCGCUGAACUUAAGCAUAUCAAUAAGCGGAGGA